GGCUUCGUAACUCAAAUGGUAGAGCGCUUGCCACGUUAAGGCAUGGUGUUUCUGUCACUGGUUCGAAUCCAGCCGAAGCCC
rnacentral:tRNA from 1 species